rnacentral:rRNA from 1 species
UACUGACUUCAGCCAAACUCCGAAUGCCGGGAAGUGAGAGCGUGGCAGUGAGACUGUGGGGGAUAAGCUUCAUAGUCGAGAGGGAAACAGCCCAGACCACCGGUUAAGGCCCCUAAGCGUGUGCUAAGUGGGAAAGGAUGUGGAGUUGCUGAGACAACCAGGAGGUUGGCUUAGAAGCAGCCACCCUUGAAAGAGUGCGUAAUAGCUCACUGGUCAAGUGAUUCCGCGCCGACAAUGUAGCGGGGCUCAAGUACACCGCCGAAACCGUGGCAUUCAGUUUUGCUGGAUGGGUAGGGGAGCGUCGUUCACGAGGUGAAGCCAGCGGGUAACUUCUGGUGGAUUGUGGACGAGUGAGAAUGCAGGCAUGAGUAGCGAAAGACGGGUGAGAAACCCGUCCGCCGGAUGACUAAGGGUUCCAGGGUCAAGCUAAUCUGCCCUGGGUAAGUCGGGACCUAAGGCGAGGCCGACAGGCGUAGUCGAUGGACAACGGGUUGAUAUUCCCGUACCAGUGAAGAACCGCCCAUGCUGAGCCGGUGAUACUAACCGCCCGAACCAUCCCGAACCUCGUCUUUGACGGGGUCGGUGAUGGGGA